rnacentral:rRNA from 1 species
ACGUCUUCAUCUUUUAGAUGAAGGCCAAUUAGCUGUCACACUUCCAAGAAAAGCUCGAACUACUAAUAAACACCACGGACCUGUACCGUAAACCGACACAGGUGGGUUGGUAGAGUAUACCAAGGGGCGCGAGAUAACUCUCUCUAAGGAACUCGGCAAAAUAACCCCGUAACUUCGGGAGAAGGGGUGCCAAGUAACUCAAAAAUGCUUGGUCGCAGUGACCAGGCCCUGGCGACUGUUUAUCAAAAACACAGGUCUCCGCAAAGUCGUAAGACAACAUAUGGGGGCUGACGCCUGCCCAGUGCCGGAAGGUUAAAGAAGUUGGUUAUUCAUUUGUGGAGAAGCUGACGACUGAAGCCCCGGUGAACGGCGGCCGUAACUAUAACGGUCCUAAGGUAGCGAAAUUCCUUGUCGGGUAAGUUCCGACCCGCACGAAAGGCGUAACGAUCAGGGCACUGUCUCGGAGAGAGACUCGGUGAAAUAGACAUGUCUGUGAAGAUGCGGACUACCUGCACCUGGACAGAAAGACCCUAUGAAGCUUGACUGUAGCUUGGAAUUGGGUUCGGGCUCUUCUUGCGCAGCCUAGGUGGGAGGCGUUGAAAGUUUUCUUUCGGGAAAACUAGAGCCAACAGUGAGAGACCACUCUGGAGGAGCUAGAAUUCUAAUGGCGUUCCUUGAAGCAGGACGCUUGACAUUUUCAGGUGGGCAGUUUGACUGGGGCGGUCACCUCCUAAAAGGUAACGGAGGUGUGCAAAGGUUCCCUCAGGCUGGACGGAAAUCAGCCGUAGAGUGUAAAGGCAGAAGGGAGCUUGACUGCAAGACCUACAAGUCGAGCAGGGGCGAAAGCCGGCCUUAGUGAUCCGACGGUUCCAUGUGGAAGGGCCGUCGCUCAACGGAUAAAAGUUACUCUAAGGAUAACAGGCUGAUCUUCCCCAAGAGUUCACAUCGACGGGAAGGUUUGGCACCUCGAUGUCGGCUCAUCGCAACCUGGGGCGGUAGUACGUCCCAAGGGUUGGGCUGUUCGCUCAUGAAAGCGGUACGUGAGCUGGGUUCAGAACGUCGUGAGACAGUUCGGUCCAUAUCCGGUGUAGGCGUUAGAGCAUUGAGUGGAGCCUUCCAUAGUACGAGAGGACCUGGAAGGACGCACCUCUGGUAUACCAGUUAUCGUGCCAACGGUACACGCUGGGUAGCCAUGUGCGGAGUGGAUAACCGCUGAAAGCAUCUAAGUGGGAAGCCCACCUCAAGAUGAGUGCUCUCCAUUAGGUCACAGGAAGACAACCUGGUUGAUAGGCAGAAGGUGUAAGGCUAGUAAUAGUUUCAGCUGAUUUGUACUAAUAGACC